AUCAGAUCUCCACUUUCUCAUAAUUAUAGAACAGAGGGCAGUGCGCAGCAUUUAUUCUUCUUACCUUCUUCACUGGGGAAUGAGAGAAAGCUCUCCACUUUGUUUAGGCCAAAAGCAAUUUCCUGUCACAAGAGUGCUAGAAAGCAAAAUAAUAUGCUUGCAUCGAUUAGCUUUGCCGAAGAAAUGUAAUGUCAUGCCAUACGGUAAUGAUCUUCUGCAGGAGAAAGCUGGGUUUUUCUUCUGCUUGGAGGACCGGGCGUUGCUGUGCCGGCAGUGCGAC
rnacentral:lncRNA from 1 species